AAAACAUCGCCUCCUGAAAUAACCAUAGGAGGUCCAGCCUGCCCAGUGACAAAGUUAAACGGCCGCGGUACCCUAACCGUGCGAAGGUAGCGCAAUCACUUGUUCUUUAAAUGAGGACUAGUAUGAAUGGCAUCACGAGGGUUAUACUGUCUCCCUCUUUUAAUCAGUGAAACUGAUCUUCCCGUGAAGAAGCGGGAAUACAUCUAUAAGACGAGAAGACCCCAUGGAGCUUUAAACUCAGUAUCAACUGCCCUCCCAAUAUAUCCACCUAAUUAAGCAGACAUGACUACUAGUUUUCGGUUGGGGUGACCGCGGAGCAAAACAAAACCUCCACGAUGAAAGGAAUUAACCUCCUAAUCAAAGAGCUACAUCUCUAAGAAUCAACAAAUUGACAUUUAUUGAUCCAAUUUUUUGAUCAACGAACCAAGUUACCCUGGGGAUAACAGCGCAAUCCAUUUCAAGAGCCCCUAUCGACAAAUGGGUUUACGACCUCGAUGUUGGAUCAGGGUAUCCCAGUGGUGCAGCCGCUACUAAAGGUUCGUUUGUUCAACGAUUAAAACCCUACGUGAUCUGAG
rnacentral:rRNA from 1 species